rnacentral:rRNA from 1 species
ACGGGUGAGUAACGCGUAGGUAACCUGCCUGGUAGUGGGGGAUAACUAUUGGAAACGAUAGCUAAUACCGCAUAAUAGCAGUUGUUGCAUGACAGCUGUUUGAAAGGUGCAAUUGCACCACUACCAGAUGGACCUGCGUUGUAUUAGCUAGUUGGUGAGGUAACGGCCCACCAAGACGAUGAUGCGUAGCCGGCCUGAGAGGGUGAACGGCCACAUUGGGACUGAGACACGGCCCAGACUCCUACGGGAGGCAGCAGUAGGGAAUUUUCGGCAAUGGGGGAAACCCUGACCGAGCAACGCCGCGUGAGUGAUGACGGCCUUCGGGUUGUAAAGCUCUGUUGUAAGGGAAGAACGGUAGAUAGAGAAUAUCUAAGUGACGGUACCUUACCAGAAAGCCACGGCUAACUACGUGCCAGCAGC